UACGGGGGGGCAAGCGUUGUUCGGAAUUACUGGGCGUAAAGGGCUCGUAGGUGGCCAACUAAGUCAGACGUGAAAUCCCUCGGCUUAACCGGGGAACUGCGUCUGAUACUGGUUGGCUUGAAUCCGGGAGAGGGAUGUGGAAUUCCAGGUGUAGCGGUGAAAUGCGUAGAUAUCUGGAGGAACACCGGUGGCGAAGGCGGCAUCCUGGACCGGUAUUGACGCUGGAGGAGCGAAAGCCGGGGGGAGCAAA
rnacentral:rRNA from 1 species